rnacentral:rRNA from 1 species
UACGGAGGGUGCGAGCGUUGUCCGGAAUCACUGGGCGUAAAGGGCGCGUAGGCGGCGCGGGCAGUCAACGGUGAAAGCUUGGGGCUCAACCCCGAGUCGGCCGUCGAUACUCCCGUGCUGGAGCACUGUAGAGGCAGGUGGAAUUCCGGGUGUAGCGGUGGAAUGCGUAGAGAUCCGGAAGAACACCGGUGGCGAAGGCGGCCUGCUGGGCAGUAGCUGACACUGAGGCGCGACAGCGUGGGGAGCAAACAGG